rnacentral:rRNA from 1 species
AUUGAACGCUGGCGGCAGGCUUAACACAUGCAAGUCGAGCGGGGGAAGGUAGCUUGCUACCGGACCUAGCGGCGGACGGGUGAGUAAUGCUUAGGAAUCUGCCUAUUAGUGGGGGACAACAUCUCGAAAGGGAUGCUAAUACCGCAUACGUCCUACGGGAGAAAGCAGGGGAUCUUCGGACCUUGCGCUAAUAGAUGAGCCUAAGUCGGAUUAGCUAGUUGGUGGGGUAAAGGCCUACCAAGGCGACGAUCUGUAGCGGGUCUGAGAGGAUGGUCCGCCACACUGGGACUGAGACACGGCCCAGACUCCUACGGGAGGCAGCAGUGGGGAAUAUUGGACAAUGGGGGGAACCCUGAUCCAGCCAUGCCGCGUGUGUGAAGAAGGCCUUAUGGUUGUAAAGCACUUUAAGCGAGGAGGAGGCUACUUUAGUUAAUACCUAGAGAUAGUGGACGUUACUCGCAGAAUAAGCACCGGCUAACUCUGUGCCAGCAGCCGCGGUAAUACAGAGGGUGCGAGCGUUAAUCGGAUUUACUGGGCGUAAAGCGUGCGUAGGCGGCUUAUUAAGUCGGAUGUGAAAUCCCCGAGCUUAACUUGGGAAUUGCAUUCGAUACUGGUGAGCUAGAGUAUGGGAGAGGAUGGUAGAAUUCCAGGUGUAGCGGUGAAAUGCGUAGAGAUCUGGAGGAUACCGAUGGCGAGGCAGCCAUCUGGCCUAUACUGACGC